GUUUCGAAUCAUUCACAAUGGGCGAAAGCCUGAUGGUGCGACGCCGCGUGAGGGAUGAAGGUCUUCGGAUUGUAAACCUCUGUCACUAGGGAAGAAAAACCAUACGUUAAUAGCGUAUGGUCUGACAUAACCUGGAGAGGAAGCAGUGGCUAACUCUGUGCCAGCAGCCGCGGUAAUACAGAGACUGCAAGCGUUAUUCGGAUUCACUGGGCGUAAAGGGUGCGCAGGCGGUCGUGUGUGUUAGGUGUGAAAGCCCGAGGCUUAACCUCGGAAUUGCGCCUAAAACUACAUGACUAGAGCAUUGGAGAGGUAGCGGAAUUCAUGGUGUAGCAGUGAAAUGCGUAGAUAUCAUGAGGAACACCAGAGGCGAAGGCGGCUACCUGGACAAUUGCUGACGCUCAGGCACGAAAGCGUGGGGAGCAAAAGGGAUUAGAAACCCCGGUAGUCC
rnacentral:rRNA from 1 species